rnacentral:lncRNA from 1 species
CGGAAGGUGUCCCAGGGAUCUGGCAAUCAAGAGGCCAUCAGUGAGCCAGGCAGGACUCAGCCCACCUGCACUGAGGUGAAAUAAACAGCUUUAUUGCUCACACAAAGCCUGUUGGUGGACUCUCUUCACAUUGAUGCGCGUGACAUUUUGUGCUGUGACUUGGAUUGGGGGCCCUUCCUUGGGAGAUCAAUCCCCUGUCCUCCUGCUCUUUGCUCCAGGAGAAAGAUCCACCACGACCUUGGGUCUUCGGACCAACCAGCCCAAGGAACAUCUCACCAAUUUUAAAUCGGGUAAGCGGCCUCUUUUUACUCUCUUCUCCAACCUCUCUCACUAUCCCUCAACCUCUUUCUCCAUUCAGUCUUG